CGCGCCACUGUCAUCUUCGCCGUCGACCGAGACCGCGUUUGCCAGCAACCGUUCUUUCCUGUCCGCUUUCGUUUGUUCCGUGGUGAACCCCAGCUGUGCCUAGACCUGUCCGUCGACCUGAAGCCACCGUCGAUCGAGACCAGCUGCGCCCAGACCUGUCCGUCGACCCGAAGUAGCGAUCGACGAAUCGAAGCCACAUCCUUCUCCCCGGGCCAAUGUCCUCCCCGUCCGCCAGCCGCUGGCCUAAGCCCAAGUCUUAUCCGUCAGUCUUGGCGCGGCUAGUUCUAGUUGCCGUCGAAUCUCGGUUGUUUCGUCCGAUCUUUCUGUUUGGGGGAACUUGUGGUGGUGAAGGAAGUUUCCAAGCAGAGUGAAUGUUCGUUUUGGGACAGUUCGAUAUCCCUAGGUAAGGGUAACAAUAGACCGACGCAUGACAAGAGAGAUCCGUGACCUGGACAUUUGGACGAUUUACUGCUUUCGCACUUAGGU